UUCCAAAGCCAUGGAUUCAUGUUAUUUCAUAUUAGUACAUAUUAGUAUCUUGUUAUUUCAUAUUACUUUUGUUAGUAUGAAUCUUAGUCACAACUCACAAGACCCAUAUCCUCUUUCUUUUUUUUUCUUACAGGAAUCCAACCAAAUGGAGGUUUUACAAGACAGGCGUGGUCGUGGAGGAGGACGACAAAUCGAGAACCGUCAGCUCUAUCAAAUAGUCGUGCGUGUCGACUUUGAUGGAAACAGGAUCAUAGACUGUCCAAGGAUCCUAAUGGGGAAGGGGGAGUGAGCUGUGUCUAUCAAAUUUUUUUCCAUUGUAAAGACUAUGUAGGAGUAGUAGCAAAUAACACCACCAGAUGGUUUGCAAAAUAGUUACAGGUUGUACCAAGUGAUUCUCUGCAUUGUGUGUAACGGGCUAGACUUAUGGCCAUUUGAGCUAUAUAUGUUGUUCUUGUUUCAGUUAAUAUUUGCUAGUUUGAUGCUUGUAAUUGGCUUUUCGACAGCCCUUUAAUUGAAAUUUUGUUCAGUUCUGUAA